rnacentral:rRNA from 1 species
CAAUAGCGUAUAUUAAAGUUGUUGCAGUUAAAAAGCUCGUAGUCGGAUUUCUGGCUCGAAAAAGCGGUCCGUUCCGCCUAGCGGAAUGCGAACCAGCGUUUUUCAGCCAUCCUCGUGGAGAGCUGUUGGUGACAGCCGUCAUCUGCACGCGAUCCACGUCCUUUACUGUGAACAAAUUAGAGUGUUCAAAGCAGGCUUACGCCACUGAAUACAUUAGCAUGGAAUAAUCCUAUAGGACUUUGGUGAUUCUAUUGUUGGUUACGCACCAGAGUAAUGAUUAAUAGGGAUAGUUGGGGGUAUUCGUAUUCAAUUGUCAGAGGUGAAAUUCUUGGAUUUAUGGAAGACGAACAACUGCGAAAGCAUUUACCAAGGAUGUUUNCAUUGA